rnacentral:rRNA from 1 species
UACGAAGGGGGGCUAGCGUUGCUCGGAAUCACUGGGCGUAAAGCGCACGUAGGCGGCUUUUUAAGUCAGGGGUGAAAUCCUGGAGCUCAACUCCAGAACUGCCUUUGAUACUGAGAAGCUUGAGUCCGGGAGAGGUGAGUGGAACUGCGAGUGUAGAGGUGAAAUUCGUAGAUAUUCGCAAGAACACCAGUGGCGAAGGCGGCUCACUGGCCCGGUACUGACGCUGAGGUGCGAAAGCGUGGGGAGCGAACAGG